AGUGCGACUCUGCGUGCACAGGCCAGAGGCUCAGAACCAGCGCCGGGCUGCCCUGCUCGGCCUCCUGGGCGCGCAGCGGCGUUUGCCCGUGCACGUGCCCUCGCAUCGCGCGCUCCGGGGCCGGGCUCCGGGCGGUUCUCGCCGCUGCAGUUCCACCGGGACUUCCGCGCUUCGGCGGCCUGUCUGACGAGCCGCCGCGCCCAGAGAGGUUCAGGUUGGAGCGACACUUCCCAGAGGGCAGCGGUCACGCCAGAUCUUUGGCUUCCAUUCCGUUUUCGCGCGCUUCUCCCACUUUGCAAGGUAAAGUAAACCCUGAAUAGGAAUAGAUGCAUUGAAGGCCACUAGGGAGAUUCAGAUAAUGUGACUUGGUGUUUGAUAAGGCAGUGAUGUCAUUCUGACUGCAGCCACCACUGUCGGGUUGCGAUCAAACUAUGAUGACCUAUGAGAGCACCAUGAUGCUCUGGAUUCUCUUUGUUCUUUCCCAGUAGAGGAAUCCCAAGGAGGACUGAUCCGUUUUGGCAGGUGCACAACCAUGGUUCGCACUUAAGUAUCUCUGGUGAGAUGCCCCACGGACAGCUUUACGCAGCACACUAGGAGGUGGGCUUCUUGAAGAUCCAUUACCAUGGCUUACUCGCAGAGUCCUUUCAGU
rnacentral:lncRNA from 1 species